UCAAGAAUCGCAUGCAUCCUACCUACAACAGUUACUAAUUUAGAAUCAGCGUAUAAGUUGGGUUAGAGAAUAAUAAUAAGCUGCGGGAAAGUACAGAUCCUAUUGUUGCAGUAUAUUUCGCGCACUUCUGUUAAAGUUGGGCCAAGUUAAAGUGACGGAGAUUUUAGUGCAGGUACCAGGUGCGGAAAAUAGAGAGGUACCAUGGGCCUUAAAGGAGUUUGCGGAAAAACCAUAUCGAGAUUGUCUUACUACGCUUUUAUUUUUGGACUCAAUGUUUGUUUUGGAUGCGUCAUAUUCUUUAUGUUGAUUAGACACGUCUUUGCCAACAUGAAUUCAGCAAAUGGGAAAAGAUACAGAUACGCGAUUUUUUGACGUUUUCUUAUAUGGAGAAACUAAAACUAACUUUUUAUUUGUGAAACAGAAGUCUGAAAUGUUGUUCCUUGUCAUACAAGGGUAUUUUUUUUAUAUGAUGUAGACAAUUCAAUUUUUUGUUUAAACUGACGAAUGAGUUUGUUGAAGAAUUCACAUACGUGCAAAUAGCAUUCUAUUCUUAAGUAUGUAGAUUAUGUAAUGCGUUGUACUUAAUUUAUUCAGUAGAUAAUAAAGUUAUUUAUGUUGUAUUUUUAA